rnacentral:lncRNA from 1 species
ACUAGUAGUCCAUCGUAACAUUUUUCACCAACUUAAUGGCCUUAUUUCUCUGACUAAAGGCUUAUGGGACUCUAUCUUUGUUGUUUAUUCAUUUCACUAGGAUAUAUAUUAGCACUAAUAUUUCUUAUGAAUUGUCUUGGUACACAGUGAACACUUUCAGAUUGAGUAUCUCGUCUUUUUUUAUUAUAGAAAAUUCCCUUACGUCAUAUUCUUAAAACAUUUAUUUUCUAUUCCAUGUAUUCAUUUUGUUUUUCAGGCCACCCGCUACCCUCUCUUUACUCUCUCCGUGACUUUUACCAAUUCUUACUUUUAGGUCACUGAUUCACUUCUUGGCAGCUUUGUUUUUGCUCUUCACUGCUUUGACAUGCAUUUUAAAUUUCUAUCUUUUCUCCUCUGUUUAAUUCCUUAAUUUUGGAAGUGCCCUUUUUAGCUUAUUCUGUUUUUACAUUAUCUUAUAACUCAUAGUCUUAUUUUCAUAGUGGUAGUUUUCUUUUUAAUUUCCUUGAAACUAUGAAGGGUUGUUUAAACUUUUGCCUUUUAUAUUCUUUUCCUUUCGUUUUUUUUUUCUUUUUUAAAAGAAUACUUCUAGGGUGAGCUCCACUCCUCUGUCUCUCUUUUUCCUAAUUUCUUCUGCCUUCCUGCCUUCCUUCCUUCUCCCUUCAUCCUCUCUCUGGAGAAUCCUCUACUUCUUCCUCCUCCUCCCGCUGCUUCUUCAUCCUCUCUUCUCCUUUUAUAAUUUUACAUACCAUUUCCUUAACUCCUCUAUCACAGUCGUUUUUGUUUUGUAAGCUGCUUUAGGAAAUAGACCGGUAUCCCUCCAGGGGAGAUAAGAAGUGCAUACACAUAGUGGAUGGAGAGAGUAUGAGGGCUAUAUUGGUGAUAUUAUCAAUAAUACUACUUAACAAUUAACUAUGGGCCAUGAAUUAUUCAGAGUAUUCUCCAUGAAUUACUUAAUUUAAUUCUCACAACAACCUUAUGAGGUAGGUACUAUUAUUAUACAAAGUAAAAAUGUGAUUAUUUGGAAGAUCUACAUAGGAAUGCCUAGUAAUAUUUGC